GUCCCUGAGUACAGUGGCGCACGGGUGAGUAACACGUGACUUAUCUACCCUCGAGUGGGGAAUAACUUCGGGAAACCGAGGCUAAUACCGCAUAAUACCCACGGGUCAAAGGAGCAAUUCGCUUGAGGAGGAGGUCGCGGCCCGAUUAGUUAGUUGCGGGGUAAUGGCCCCCACCAAGACGGUGAUCGGUAUCCGGCCUGAGAGGGCGCACGGACACACUGGAACUGAAACACGGUCCAGACUCCUACGGGAGGCAGCAGUGGGGAAUUUUGCGCAAUGGGGGAAACCCUGACGCAGCAACGCCGCGUGGAGGAUGAAGUCUCUUGGGACGUAAACUCCUUUCGAUCGGGACGAUUAUGACGGUACCGGAAGAAGAAGCCCCGGCUAACUUCGUG
rnacentral:rRNA from 1 species